CUCUGGCCUGAAAUCAGGUAGGACUACCCGCUGAACUUAAGCAUAUCAAUAAGCGGAGGAAAAGAAACUAACAAGGAUUCCCCUAGUAACGGCGAGUGAAGCGGGAAGAGCUCAAAUUUGAAAUCUGGCAGUCUUCGAUUGUCCGAGUUGUAAUCUAUAGAGGCGUUUUCCGUGCCGGACCGUGUCCAAGUCUCCUGGAAAGGAGUAUCAAAGAGGGUGAUAAUCCCGUACUUAACACGACCACCGGUGCUCUGUGAUACGUCUUCUACGAGUCGAGUUGUUG
rnacentral:rRNA from 1 species